rnacentral:lncRNA from 1 species
AACAAUUUUACAGUCAGAGCAUACCUCCACAUAUCCAGAUGAUGGGCCAAAUAAGAUAAAGUGGCAAUGUUCUAACUCUUAAGAAAUAGCUUAGGAAUAUAAAGAGGUUUGCAAGUGUAGUUUGGUACCCAAAAUGCAUUUAAAAUAAUAACUUGCAAUUUUUCCCUUUCUUUUUCAGAUAUGAACUAGUUAAUGACCCAGAUGGUUGGCUGAGUGUGGAUGAGAGCUCAGUUAUUAUUACUGUGGCAAAAGAAUCAAGAAUCCCCCUUCUUGCACAACAACAUGUAUACCAUUAUUGUUCAUGCUACAAAUCAUGGGCAGUCAGUUGAACUUUUGAUGUUAAGAAGCCUCCCACAAGGCAGCUACUUGGUGCUCAUCAUUAUUCAGGACAGUAUCCAGCAUCAUGCCCACUGCAACUGUCUUGUGAAAUAG